rnacentral:rRNA from 1 species
CCUACGGGCGGCAGCAGUGAGGAAUAUUGGUCAAUGGCCGGAAGGCUGAACCAGCCAAGCCGCGUGAAGGACGAAGGUGCCAAGCAUUGUAAACUUCUUUUGUCAAGGGACAAAAUCAGGCUCGAGAGCCUGACCGAGGGGACUUGAAGAAAAAGCAUCGUCUAACUCCGUGCCAGCAGCCGCGGUAAUACGGGGGAUGCGAGCAUGAUCCUGGUUUAUUGGGUUUAAAGGGUUCGUAGGCGGUCUGUUAAGUCAUCGGUAACAGCCAGGGGCUCAACCCCGGCGAGCCGGUGAAACUGGCUGUCGUGAGAUGUCGAGAGGUAUGCGGAAUGCGCAGUGUAGCGGGGAAAUGCUUAGAUAUUGCGCAGAACUCAGAUUGCGAAGGCAGCAUACCGGCGGCGAUCUGACGCUGAGGCACGAACGCGUGGGUAUCGAACAGGAUUAGAUACCCGAGUAGUC